AAGCUGCGAAGAUGGCGGAGUAAGGCGUGCCGCUGCAAACUGGCCUCUGGGCCGGGGGCGAGCAGCCCCCGGGAGGCCGAGUGCAUCUGUUGGACCGUGCGAGGAGAAGAAAAAAAAUAUCGGCCAGAGGAGAGGAACUAACCGAACAUUCUUCCUCCCUACCUUAUAGAGGGGAGUGGUCAUCUACACUAAAGCAAAGUGUUAGGCGCGUCCGUGCGAAGAGACCACCAAACAGGCUUUGUGUUCCUUAUCACAGGAAGAAAAUUUUCCUUGACCUUUAGGUGCUUUUAUAUUCAUCUCAAAAACAAAAUUCUGAACUCAGGACUUGGCAAGUAAGUAAUUGUGGGCUAAUCGUUCCAAAUACUGUUUAAGUAGCUUGAAAACAGGUACAUAGAAGUGGAACAAUAAGCCGUUAGCUUCAGCAGAAGACGAACAUGAAAAAUGACUGUAAGCUAUUGAAAUUUAAGUUAAAUCUUUUAUUUUUCAACAAAAGAAAUGUAUUAAAUAAAAAGGAGUAAUCUUGAUCAUUUGCUCAAACUACCAAUAAUUUUCACUGUCUAAAGAAAACAGACACAUAUUUAAUUAGAUUGAAGGAAAUCAAAUGAUUAAAAAAUAGGCCUGGCCCGGUGGCUCACGCCUGUAAUCCCAGCAGUUUGGG
rnacentral:lncRNA from 10 species